rnacentral:rRNA from 1 species
UAACGUCUCAGUUCGGAUUGUAGUCUGCAACUCGACUACAUGAAGCUGGAAUCGCUAGUAAUCGCGAAUCAGAAUGUCGCGGUGAAUACGUUCCCGGGUCUUGUACACACCGCCCGUCACACCAUGGGAGUCAGUAACGCCCGAAGUCAGUGACCCAACCAAUCAGGAGGGAGCUGCCGAAGGUGGGACCGAUAACUGGGGUGAAGUCGUAACAAGGUAAC